UACGGAAGGCAGCAGGGGGGAAUAUUGCACAAUGGGCGCAAGCCUGAUGCAGCCAUGCCGCGUGUAUGAAAAAGGCCUUCGGGUUGUAAAGUACUUUUCAGUCGUGAGGAAGGUGUUAAGGUUAAUAACCUUAGCAAUUGACGUUAGCGACAGAAGAAGCACCGGCUAACUCCGUGCCAGCAGCCGCGGGUAAUACGGAGGGUGCGAGCGUUAAUCGGAAUUACUGGGCGUAAAGGGCACGCAGGCGGUUAAUUAAGUUGGAUGUGAAAUCCCCGGGCUUAACCUGGGAAUGGCAUUCAAGACUGGUUAGCUAGAGUCUUGUAGAGGGGGUAGAAUUCCAUGUGUAGCGGUGAAAUGCGUAGAGAUGUGGAGGAAUACCGGUGGCGAAGGCGGCCCCUGGACAAAGACUGACGCUCAUGUGCGAAAGCGUGGGGAGCAAACAGGGAUUAGAUACC
rnacentral:rRNA from 1 species